CCGUCGUUUUUAUAGCUCUAACAGCGUUACGAAAACAAUGGGUUAGACGGGGGAAACCAGUGUCCUUGAGAGAAGACUAGGAUGUCAAAUCCUUCCAAAAGAAAAGCUCACCUACACCAGGGGUGGCCUGACACUGUUACGAAAGCAAAAGCUCUUUUUUUCUCUCCGUUCCCACUUUCCAAGUUGGCAGAGGAAUCCAAACAAAGUUCACAAGCAAAAAAAAGCUGUCCUCGCACUGCCCACAAGCAAUCAAUUGCAAGCCAGCUUUGGAACUACAUGCAGGGCAUCCACCCAUGCUUUCCUCCAUCUCUAUCGGUUUAGGAAAGCGAUGGCUUGGUCUUUUUCUCCACGUCUCCUAGUAGAGCCUAUGUUAGCCGUCCCCACCUACGGGAAUCCUGUACAAAAAGUAAAAGCGGAAGCAGAGAGAAGAGAAGAGAGGAAAAGGAGGGAGCUAUUUGUUUUGCAUGGGUUUGUGUCAUGCGGGCAGGAAGCCUAAAAAGAAGGGGAGAGAUGGACUUGUCUCCCCAUCUCUCUCCCCCACCGUCCUUCCCUUAAACUCACAAAUCUCAUGAUCAUACAAAGCACACGCUAAAGGUCUUUGGGUGUUGAAAACUUCAGGAAAGUUUGGCUGGUGAAUGAACAAGGUUUGGUGGAAAUUCCCCGCCAUUUGUCAGCAGGGAAGAUUGCUCGG
rnacentral:lncRNA from 1 species